UUUUCCUCUCAUAUUCCUUCUGUUUUUUGUUUUUAUUUUUUACUUCUUCUGGUUUUCUCUAUUCUAAAAUUCAUGGACUUUUCUGUAUUCAUGAAUCUAUCUAUAUCUAUCUAUCUAUAUCUAUCUAUCUAUCUAUCUAUAUCUAUAUCUAUAUCUAUCUAUACUUCUAUAUCUAUAUCUAUAUCUAUCUAUCUAUAUCUAUCUAUCUAUCUAUAUCUAUAUCUAUACUAAUUAUAGACUCCCAAGAAAUUACCAUGUUAAUCAGAAAUUACGAACCGUUCAUCUGGUGGGACCGAGUUAUAACGGUAGAGAUCCACCCAUAUAAGUUUUUUUCUCUUACCAUGUUAACCAGAAAUUACGAACCGUUCAUCUGAUGGGACCGAGUUGUAAUGGUAGAGAUCCAUCCAUAUAGGUUUUUUUUCUCGGCUAUAUCUACACGUAACAAACAUCCAACUUAAUUCCGACGUUAAAAAAGUUCAUCCGGCCAACACGCAUGCACGCAUGUAUCCAAGGUGAGAGUCCAUUCAUUUUUAAAAAGGUGAGAGUCCAUUGAUAUUUUUUUAAUUGAGAGUCCACCUCAUAUACGUUUAAUACCAUCUCUCCUAAUCCUUUACGCUUCUAUAUAUAUAAUAAUCUUCACGCCUAUAGAUGUGCGUCAAUACGUGCUUCAGUCCACAACAGCACAUCGUCGUGUCCUAUCCUAGACCUUAAUCGCCUUAUGUGGGCAAUUUUCUGGCUGCCACUUUUUUCCUCAGGUAUUUGCAAAACUAUGUAUCAAUUGUUCUUCCCGUACGGCCACAGUACGCGCGGCCACGAAGGCAUGCAACACCAGAUGAAAGUUGUGCCACCGGUCCAGCUGAUCACCCCGUUUAUGAUUUCCUGCCACCUCUAGAUUUCUACUGUACUAAUUAACGACCGUUUGAAGUUGAUGUGCAUGCAUUGAAUAAUACCCAGGUCUGUUCGUAUCUCCACUCAAUCUGACCGGAGCCCUCCCCAACAUCCUAGGUCAUAACAGGUCAUAACAGGUCAUAACAGGUCGCUCGCAGGCAAGCCAUGCGGAUUGAAGUGAAAAUUAGGACAAUGGAAAUUGCAAGCAUGCCCUACACAGUGGCGGAGGCAGGGGGGUGGCCAGCCAGCCGGCCCUCCCCAACAUCAGAUUAUACGCAUUCCUGCCUCCACCACUGGCCCUACACGAAUAAAUCAAGGAGAGCGGUCGGGCCACCGACUAACGAUCCUCUAAUAUUUUUAUUUCCAAAGCCUUUGUUCUCUUUGAGAUGAAAUAAACAGUUUUAACUUUUAGAACACAGUUUAUAGUUGGUAUAGGGUGGAUGCCUGAAUGUAGUCUGCUUAUCGUUAGUUUCAUUAUUUAUAUCUAGGUGAGAAUAACAGUUAUAACCAGCAGGAUGCUCUACGAUUAAUAGACUCUUCGUUGAAAACUCUCUUAACAGGAUGUGAGGUAGAUCCUAACAGAAACAGGAUGGAUGUCGGGCCCAUGGCAUGGUCUUACAUAUGGACUAUUCUCACGAUAUCAAUACGACACAUGGAGUCAAGCAUGGUGAACAAAAUAACAAGAUGCAUCCAUAUAUGGAUCUUAUCCUCCUGGACAUUGGAAGAAGAAGUUGGCUAAUAUGGUAGACUUGAACGUCAUUGGCACACCACCAGCCCUGACGAUGUCUAGCCGCUAGCAUGCAACUGAGAGAAAAGGCAACAUCGAGCAGUGGCAAGGUUGUCGUCACAGAGUAGUCCUGUUGCCGGACUUGCCCAUGAAGAAAAUCAGACUUUGACAAGAUUUCAGUUGAAUUCAAAGCAGUGAUUCCAUAUUUCAAUUUUAAGUACGUAAAUAAGGAUGCAUGCAAGAAGGAGAGGAGUAGCCCAUGUUUAAUUAUGUUGUCAUGUUUGAUCGCAGGCAGCAAGGAAGGUAGAUAUGGUCUGCAAGCAGGAGCAGGAAGUUUAUUUCUAAAUUAGUGAUGAUGAUAAAACAGAGGGUUUCUUCCAAUUUGUAGUGCUUGCUAUUCAUCUUGAUAAUGUACUCAGGGUAGUCACAAUCCCGACUCGACUUCUAGAAUCCUACGACUUCACGACCCUACGGAACCAUGUCAAUCCAAGUCCCACUAUGAAUCCGGAUCAGAAUAGUAUGCCAUCAUCCAAAGCAUUUUCACAUGCCUCAUGGCCCUUUAUUCUCCUCCCAAGCCCAAAUGCUCAGCCGCCGACACCUUUGAUCUGGCUCUCAAAACCUAGAUCAAAAUUGAGGAUCAGACUUGUCGACAAAUGGAAUUGGCAUGGGAAGGAGGAUGCGUCAAGAUUGAUCGGAGAAGGAGAGCAAGACCCUUCAAGGUUCAGCACUGCAGGGCGGAUAUACAAGUGAUCGGCUAUUCACGUAUUCUAAAAAACCCAGGCAAUCAGAACGCUCUCAUUUUUGGUAAUCACUAAUCACGAGGUAUAGUUAAGAUGGUCGAUCCCCGGGUACCCAGUUUACUGUGCCCUAAGCAAUGACUAUUUUCUGUUGAUUAACAGAUAUAGUGCUUCCACAAAAGAACAAUUAUUCCCAGGCCUGCACUGCCCGUGUGAGUAUGGUCAUACUAUGAUACAGUAGUCGUACUCUCCAUCAUGUAUGCUAGCUGCAUCUAAUUGCCAGCUCCCCCUCUCCGGCCCCUAUGUACAUCACUCUACACUAGCUAAGUUUAAUUUCAUCAAAUUUUGGGGUACUUCCUCCAUUUUUAUAUACAAAGCCACAAACUCAAAUUAGAGGUACCAAGGUUAAAUUUAAUACAUGUUUUACAAUCCAAC